rnacentral:rRNA from 1 species
UGGGGAAUAUUGCACAAUGGAGGGAACUCUGAUGCAGCGACGCCGCGUGAACGAAGAAGGCUUUCGAGUCGUAAAGUUCUUUUAUAUGGGAAGAUAAUGACGGUACCAUAAGAAAAAGCCCCGGCUAACUACGUGCCAGCAGCCGCGGUAAUACGUAGGGGGCCAGCGUUGUCCGGAAUCACUGGGCGUAAAGGGUUCGCAGGCGGAAAUGCAAGUCAGGUGUAAAAGGCAGUAGCUUAACUACUGUAAGCAUUUGAAACUGCAUAUCUUAGGAAGAGUGGGGGUAAGUGGAAUUUUUAGUGUAGCGGUGAAAUGGGUGGAUAUUAGAAAGAAUACCGGUGGCGAAGGCGACUUACUGGGCUCAUUCUGACGCUGGGGAACGAAAGCGUGGGUAGCAAACAGG